UACGUAGGGUGCAAGCGUUAAUCGGAAUUACUGGGCGUAAAGCGUGCGCAGGCGGCUUUGCAAGACAGAUGUGAAAUCCCCGGGCUUAACCUGGGAACUGCAUUUGUGACUGCAUGGCUGGAGUGCGGCAGAGGGGGAUGGAAUUCCGCGUGUAGCAGUGAAAUGCGUAGAUAUGCGGAGGAACACCGAUGGCGAAGGCGGCAUCCUGGACCGGCACUGACACUGAGGAGCGAAAGCCAGGGGAGCAAACGGG
rnacentral:rRNA from 1 species